rnacentral:rRNA from 1 species
UGGGGAAUAUUGGACAAUGGGGGGAACCCUGAUCCAGCCAUGCCGCGUGUGUGAAGAAGGCCUUAUGGUUGUAAAGCACUUUAAGCGAGGAGGAGGCUCUUCUAGUUAAUACCUAGGAUGAGUGGACGUUACUCGCAGAAUAAGCACCGGCUAACUCUGUGCCAGCAGCCGCGGUAAUACAGAGGGUGCGAGCGUUAAUCGGAUUUACUGGGCGUAAAGCGUGCGUAGGCGGCUUUUUAAGUCGGAUGUGAAAUCCCCGAGCUUAACUUGGGAAUUGCAUUCGAUACUGGGAAGCUAGAGUAUGGGAGAGGAUGGUAGAAUUCCAGGUGUAGCGGUGAAAUGCGUAGAGAUCUGGAGGAAUACCGAUGGCGAAGGCAGCCAUCUGGCCUAAUACUGACGCUGAGGUACGAAAGCAUGGGGAGCAAACAGGAUUAGAUACCCUGGUAGUCCAUGCCGUAAACGAUGUCUACUAGCCGUUGGGGCCUUUGAGGCUUUAGUGGCGCAGCUAACGCGAUAAGUAGACCGCCUGGGGAGUACGGUCGCAAGACUA